GAUGAACGCUGGCGGUAUGCUUAACACAUGCAAGUCGAACGGACUCUUUGGAGUUAGUGGCGGACGGGUGAGUAACGCGUGAGAAUCUGGCUUUGGGUUCGGGACAACCACUGGAAACGGUGGCUAAUACCGGAUGUGCCGAGAGGUAAAAGAGAAAUUGCCUGAAGAUGAGCUCGCGUCUGAUUAGCUAGUUGGUGAGGUAAAGGCUCACCAAGGCAGCGAUCAGUAGCUGGUCUGAGAGGAUGACCAGCCACACUGGGACUGAGACACGGCCCAGACUCCUACGGGAGGCAGCAGUGGGGAAUUUUCCGAAAUGGGCGAAAGCCUGACGGAGCAAUACCGCGUGAGGGAAGAAGGCUCUUGGGUUGUAAACCUCUUUUCUUAGGGAAGAACAAAAUGACGGUACCUAAGGAAUCAGCAUCGGCUAACUCCGUG
rnacentral:rRNA from 1 species